rnacentral:lncRNA from 1 species
CUGCUCUCUGCUGGCUGGCCACAUGCCCUGCACCUGCCCAGCUCUGCCCCCCAGAAGCCUACCAAGCUGGUCAUUUUGAAGGAAGAACCAUUGCAGGAUCUGAAGAGGAUUUCUUCAAGAAUUAACAAGCUCAGACAGUGAACUUCCCUCUGUGGAUCUCAGCAGCCAUUGUGGGAGAAAAUCCCUUUUAACAACCAUGAGGAAUGCAGGGUGUCCUUCCUGCUCACAUCCUGCAGAUCCUGAGUCCCAGAGUGUUUCCCUGCUCCUGACAUCCCUUGUUUCUCAGCCCAUGGAACUAGUGAGCCCACAUCAAAGAGGCUACAGAACAAGAUAGAGAGCCUGUAAAACCUGGUGGAAUCACCUCAGAUAAAAAACCAAGGUGCCAGUAUUUACCAAAAAUAUUCCUGUUUUAUUGAAAAAACAGCCAUUCUCCAGCAACUGUUGUUGGUACCUGCUGAAGCACUAUCUGUGCUUUUACUAGCACACACUAGUUUAACUUGUGCAUUAUCCUGCUCCUGGUGGAGUAAUUAGAUUAACUCCACAAUGCCCCUUACCUCUAAUAAGCUUCAGGAUCCUUAACAUGUCAAACAUGGCAGCUGCUCAGGGGUGUCCUCGUGUGCUGUCAUGGCCAAUUACAGGGAAUUUUUGACAAGCUGAUGAUGCUUUCAUGCAAACUGCAAGAUUUCCAAAACUUAGUUGC